AUGAUCUGCCGGGAGCCGCCGCCCGGCGGCAGGGGAGGCUCCUCCAUGGACCCGCCCCGCCACUCCUGGGACGGGUCCAUGGUCGGCAGGGCCUUCGCCUGCUCCUUCGCGUGCCUGGACGAGCCGCCUGAUGGCGUCACCAGGGUCAGGCAGGGCAAUGCAGAGGAAUCGGCCAGGGAGCGCCCUGCUGCCGGGGUUGCGGAGAGCAGGAACGGGGAGCAUUCUGCCGAGAUUGCAGCAGAGAGCAGGAAUGGGGGGCAUUCCGCCGAUGUGGGCGGCGAGGGGCCGAGGUUCAGAGGAAGGAGAAGCUGCAGUGACGCCGGCCCGGAGAUAACUGCGGCGGCCUCAGGUGUCCGGCGCCGGAGGUCCAACAGGUGGAGCAGGGUGUGGGAUCGCAGCAUCACGAGUCCACUCAAGGAGUUUGUGAGGAAGGGGGAGCACGCUCUUGAUCGGUCCUUCUCGGAGUCAAGGAGGGAAACCCGGAGGUGUAAAAAUGGGGAGACGACAGACAUCGAAAAUGGCGAAAUUCAGCAUGGCCGCAAUGGGUCGGCAAUUCCAGGCAGAGCAAGCCAGAGCGCAAGCAGAAGAUCGCAAGCUGCCGCGGCUAACGGGGACGAGCAGAAUUUCCGCACCGACUGGCUCAAGAACAAGGAAUGCAGGAUCGGCAGGAGCAGGAGCGUGCAUUACACCUCUCCUGGGAACUUUGAUAAUGGGAUGCUACGGUUUUAUCUGACGCCGAUGAGGAGCAACAGAGCCGCAAACAGGGGGAGGAGGAGAAGCUCUCGCUUGUUUACGAGAGGACUUUUUGGUUUUGUUUGA
rnacentral:rRNA from 1 species